rnacentral:rRNA from 1 species
AACGAACGCUGGCGGCGUGUUUAAGACAUGCAAGUCGCACGGGAAUAUUUUGGUAUUUAUAUUGGAAUAUUCGAGUGGCGCACGGGUGAGUAACACGUGAAUUACAUGCCCUUGAGUGGGGGAUAGCCCAGGGAAACUUGGAUUAAUACCCCAUGGUAUCGCAAGAUUAAAGGUGGCCGCAAGGCUGUCGCUCAAGGAUUGGUUCGCGCCCUAUCAGCUUGUUGGUGAGGUAACGGCUCACCAAGGCUACGACGGGUACCUGGUUUGAGAGGACGAUCAGGCACACUGGAACUGAGACACGGUCCAGACACCUACGGGUGGCAGCAGUCGAGAAUAAUUCACAAUGGGGGCAACCCUGAUGGUGCAACGCCGCGUGGAGGAUGACGGUCUUCGGAUUGUAAACUCCUGUCAUCUGGGAGUAAGACCUGGGAGUUAAUAGCUCACAGGGUUGAUAGUACCAGAAGAGGAAGGGACGGCUAACUUCG